CACGACUUCAGGCUCGACAUCUUCGGCAGCUCCUAGGCAGAUAUGUUGUUGUGUACCUGGAAUAAUCAUUGAUGAAGGUCAGUAAACAUCUGUUCCUGCCUGCUUUGGGGGUUUUCAUUGGUCCACACACGUCACUGUGUAUGAGUUCCAUGAGGGGUGGUGCUGAAGAACGUCUGGAACGCCUCAUGUUGAAAAAGAAGAAUUGAUGGAGAGAAGAGAGAACAACUUGUCAGCUUUCUGUCCAGGAUAAAAGGGAAACAGAAAUUGCAGGCAUCAGCAUAAAAAAACCCGGAUCUUGUUAUGCUGUUAUGGUUUAGCCGAUCUGCCCAUUGUAUGACCUGCAGCAUCUCCAUUCCCAGCUCAGCCCAUGACGUACACUGAAUUCGCCCUCUGCAUUCCCCCCUCAACCAUUAAACACCUUUCCUGUCACGGCCCACC